rnacentral:rRNA from 1 species
AGAAUCAACGCUGGCGGCGUGCCUAACACAUGCAAGUCGAACGAGAAAGUGGAGCAAUCCAUGAGUAAAGUGGCGACCGGGUGAGUAACACGUGACUAACCUACCCUACAGUGGGGGAUAACUCCGGGAAACCGGGGCUAAUACCGCAUAACAUCGUAAGAUCAAAGGAGCAAUUCGCUGAAGGAGGGGGUCGCGGCUGAUUAGUUAGUUGGUGAGGUAACGGCUCACCAAGACGAAGAUCAGUAGCCGGCCUGAGAGGGCGCGACGGCCGACACUGGAACUGAAACACGGUCCAGACUCCUACGGGAGGCAGCAGUGAGGAAUAUUGGACAAUGGGGGCAAGCCUGAUCCAGCAAUGCCGCGUGUGUGAAGAAGGUCUUCGGAUUGUAAAGCACUUUUGGCAGGGACGAUGAUGACGGUACCUGCAGAAUAAGCCCGGCUAACUUCGUGCCAGCAGCCGC